GUGUGUCUCAUCCUCAGUUUUUCAUGUUUACCCUGAUCUAAUGUAUCUGUACUGCUGUUGUGUUCUAGUGUACUUUCCCAGAUAAGUAUGGCUGUGUAUAUCUUCAGCCAAAAGGCCCUAUGUUACGGAAAAAAUUACUUCAGGGAUCACACAUAUUACAUCUCUUAUCUCUGUGAGUGAUACUGCCAAAAAUAUCACCACCUUCAUCUCUUCACCUCCUCCUUAAGGCUCCAUAUUAUUGGCACAUAAAUUAUAUGAUAGUUCAUGUGAAAUCUUGAAAUAUGAACAUAUAACAUUACUAUAAUAUGUAAUAUGAGGCUUGUGUGCUUAAAUGACUGGAUCAAAAACAAGAAUGGAAGAGCACUGAGGUGUGUCUGUGUGUGUGUGUGUGUGUCAGAGGAGGCUCCUUCAUUGAGGAAAGGGAGGAACACCCUUCCUAAAAUUUCAGAGAAAAAUAAAAAUAUAUAAAGUGAAUUACUAAUCUGAUAAAUUACUAUUUUUAACACUUUGAAUGAACAAAAUCGUUCCCCUAGGUCAAAAUGCCAACAGCACCCCCUAUCGCAAUCGAAAAUUACUGUAUGGAGGAGCUUCCUCCUCAAGCCCCUCAUUGAAGUCCAUUAUAAACGCUUAGGACCCCAGUGGCUCGUGAAUCACGUCGUUUUCAAUGGCCAAGGGCGAUAGGGGGUGCUGUUUUUAGCGGCAACGGUGCAAGAACGUUAUCUGGGGUUAAGUGCCUUGUUCAAAUGCACAAUGGUGGAAGCCAAGAAUUGAACCCACAACGUUUCUGGCUGCUGUAUGCUAGCCUAGCUCCUUAGGUCAGACCCCCCCUGAGAAUGUCAGAACAGCAUUUAUUGCACAACAUUGCCAGUUAAAAUGCUACAUAGUACAUACUGCUGCUAUAAAUGUGUCUGGGUAGGCGGCCUACAUACUCUAUUGUUCACAUAUGCCACCAACACCAUCACAACCUCACAUUUGCCACUAACACCAAUCAAGCGGACAUUCCUUCCUCCGUUAUUUUUUUAACCACCGGCCGCCACUGGUGUGUGUGUGCAUGUGCGUGCCCGUGCGUGCGUGCGUGUGUGUGUGUGUGUGUGUGCGUGCUUGUGUGUGUGUGUGUGUGCGUGUGCACAUGCAUUUGAGUGUUACCAGUUGCCAUACCAAUACCAAGAAUGAGAAUAUUUGCAUUGUCGGUUGGACAGGGAAGGUCGACCUCUGAGGAAGGAGAUUGUGGGUAAGGGAGAGAAUGUCCACGUUUCAAAGCUUUGAAAUAAGAGGAUGUGUCUGCAACUUCAAAACCUCAGCUCCCAUCACUGUAUACAGAGGAACAAAACCCAUCAGUUUAUGGAUCCACACCCUAACUGCCACAGGGACUUCAGGCACGCCCUCUUAUUCUCUCCGGGGUCUUCUAAUUUCAGAAGAAAAUGCAGAAUUACAAAGCAUGAGGGAAUAUUGUGUGCAUCCAUCCCUGGAGACAGGCUUAAUGAUAAGUACCUGAAUUUUGCUAGUUAUAAAGGCAUCAUAUGUCCUUAUAGCAACUAAAUAACUAUAACAAUAAAGGUAUGGC